rnacentral:lncRNA from 1 species
GUUGUGUUCAGCUGAUUGGAGUCCUGGUUUUCCCUCCAUUUCUGCUUUAGCUCAUGGCUCUGACACACAACAGUGUAGCUGUAUGAGCUACACCUGGAAAGUGAAAAUCUAGGAGAUUCUCCAGUUUCCAGCGGGAUGUUCUGGGGUCAGGCAGCUUGUUCAGACUUUGAGGAAGGAACUGAUGGCGGCCAAGCUCAUAGACUUCAAGAGGAAUGGAAGCCACCAGAGCAGCUUCACGACAGACAGGUUACCCAGCAACGCUGGAGAGUCAGGGAUGGAAGCAGAUGAAGGACGUGCUGUCAUUCCAGGGGCCACACAGGCUGUGAAGAGAGAUCCUCCGUGUCUCGGACCACUGAAGCACUCUGUGCACAGGGUUCAUGUGGGCCAGCACAGCUCUCUCUCCAGAAGGGGCUGCACCGUCAUGUCCCACCACUUGCCGUCCUGCGUCUGGAGACACUUCUGA